UACGUAGGGGCCGAGCGUUGUCCGGAUUUACUGGGCGUAAAGCGCGCGCAGGCGGUCUUCUAAGCCUACCGUGAAAGCCCCCGGCUCAACCGGGGAGGGUCGGUGGGGACUGGGCGACUUGAGGACGGCAGGGGCUGGUGGAAUCCCCGGUGUAGUGGUGAAAUGCGUAGAGAUCGGGGGGAACACCCGUGGCGAAGGCGGCCAGCUGGGCCGGUCCUGACGCUGAGGCGCGAAGGCGUGGGGAGCGAACGGG
rnacentral:rRNA from 1 species